rnacentral:misc_RNA from 1 species
CCUUGAAGCAAAUUGGAGUAUUAAUUAAUGGAAGUAUUUUAUAGUUAUACCAUAAUUUAGUAAUAUGGGAGCUCAAUAUGGCUAGCUUCUUGAGCACAUGUAGCAUUGUGCAAAUGUUUGUAUACUUUUGAGCAUCAAUAAAUGUUGAGUACGAGUGACUAUUAUAAUAAUAAAUUAAUUAAUACUCCAAUUUGCUUCAAGG